rnacentral:rRNA from 1 species
AGAGUUUGAUCCUGGCUCAGGAUGAACGCUAGCGGCAGGCCUAACACAUGCAAGUCGUGGGGUAAUUCUACCGCAAGGUGGAAACGACCGGCGCACGGGUGAGUAACACGUAUGUAACCUACCUCUAACUGGGGGAUAGCUCCCGGAAACGGGAAUUAAUACCGCAUAAUAUCCUAGGGAUGCAUAUUCCAAGGAUCAAAGCUCCGGCGGUUAGAGAUGGGCAUGCGCGACAUUAGCUAGUUGGUGAGGUAACAGCUCACCAAGGCAACGAUGUCUAGGGGGUCUGAAAGGAUGAUCCCCCACACUGGUACUGAGACACGGACCAGACUCCUACGGGAGGCAGCAGUGAGGAAUAUUGGGCAAUGGGCGCAAGCCUGACCCAGCCAUGCCGCGUGCAGGAUGAAGGCCUUCGGGUCGUAAACUGCUUUUAUAUAGGAAGAAUAUCCCUGAUGCAUCGGGGAUUGACGGUACUAUAUGAAUAAGCAUCGGCUAACUCCGUGCCAGCAGCCGCGGUAAUACGGAGGAUGCAAGCGUUAUCCGGAUUCACUAGGUCUAAAGGGUGUGUAGGCGGGACUUUAAGUCAGUGGUGAAAUCCUACGGCUUAACCGUAGAACUGCCAUUGAAACUGGAGUCCUUGAGUGCAGUUGAAGUAGGCGGAAUGUGUUAUGUAGCGGUGAAAUGCUUAGAUAUGACACAGAACACCGAUUGCGAAGGCAGCUUACUAAGCUGUUACUGACGCUGAGGCACGAAAGCGUGGGGAGCAAACAGGAUUAGAUACCCUGGUAGUCC